UGCCUUACUUCAGCACAGAGAAAUCGUCUCAGAGUUGCCAUUGAUAUAACCAGUGCCUUGUUAACAGAUGUGACCUGAUCUUUGCAGAGCCUGUCUCAGAUACUUACCUGUAUAUACCUGUGGGAGGAAGAAGAAAAAGGCAACUUUCAGUUUGAAGGCCAAGGUGUUACUACUUAGAAUUUAGGGCACAGAAGGCCUGGUGUGUGUCGGCAGUGAUAUUUGGGAGAACGAGUCGGUUUGGGAGACACUUUAGGUCAUACCAGCAGCAGCUGCUGACAUAUGAACCUCACAGAUGAAGAUGCCAUAGCAUGGCUAUUUCUCGACUGCACUGCUGAGGUUUAAGAACAUCAACCAGACGGCUGUGUUGAGAAUACAGACACCGCAUUCAGAUUCAGUGAGAAAGAGUGCUUUGAUCAACUAAUAUUUUCUGCAGUGGUCCAUCCAUGUGUGUCGGGUUUUACUAUUCCUGGCUUAAGCAUUCUCUACAACCACGAGCUUGCAACUAAAAUGCUGAGAAAUGUAUGGCUACCAUAAAGCCAGUUUAAAUCUACAUGCCAAAAGGCCUUCUUUAAA